rnacentral:rRNA from 1 species
AGACGCUGGCAGCGGCUUUGCGGGCCGUUGGGUCGAGGAGAGCGGUCCCGCGUGGGGCGAAGCGGCCGGGGAACCGUGCCGUGGACCGCGCGGGAGUGAGAAUGCAGACAUGAGUAGCGAGAGACGGGUGACGGAUCCCGUCCGCUGGAUGACCAAGGGUUCCGGGCCACGUUCGUCGUCCCCGGGUGAGUCGGGUCCUAAGGCGAGGCCGACAGGCGUAGUCGAAUGGAUGAACGGGUGGAUAUUCCCGUACCGGCGGCGUACCGUAAGAGCCGAACGGAUGAGUACUAACCUCCGGUCGCGUGGCGUCGUUCCCUUCGGGGUUCGGGGUCCGCGGUCGUUGGGAGCGUAGUCCUGGUAGGCUAGCGCACAGGGGUGACACGGAAUGGGAGCCGGCCGCGGAGGUGGUUUUCCGUGGUCAAGCACGCAGCCCGUCCCAUAGGCAAAUCCGUGGGACGCAUAGGGUGAGGUGUGAUGAUGGGCGUCCUUUGGACGCGAUAUCCGGUGGUCCAGGCCGUCGAGAAAAGCCUCGGCGCGAGGGGCGUCGCCGCCCGUACCCCAAACCGACACUGGUGGUCAGGUAGAGAAUACCAAGGCGAUCGAGCGAAUCCUGGUCAAGGAACUCGGCAAAUCACUCCCGUGCCUUCGGUAUAAGGGAGACCCCCGGGCGUGAAGAGGCUUGCCCUCGGAGCGUUGGGGGGGUGGCACAGACCAGGGGGUAGCGACUGUUUACCAAAAACACAGGUGCAUGCGAAGGCGCAAGCCGCUGUAUAUGCACUGACGCCUGCCCGGUGCCGGAAGGUUAAGAGGAUCCGUCAGCCCCUUUUGGGGUGAAGCGGUGAAUUCAAGCCCCGGUAAACGGCGGUGGUAACUAUAACCAUCCUAAGGUAGCGAAAUUCCUUGUCGGGUAAGUUCCGACCUGCACGAAUGGCGUAACGACUUCCCCACUGUCUCGACCAGGAGCUCGGCGAAAUUGCAGUACGAGUAAAGAUGCUCGUUAAGCGCAGAAGGACGAAAAGACCCCGGGACCUUUACUAUACCUUGGUAUUGGCGUUAGGCGCGGAUUGUGUAGCAUAGGCGGGAGGCUUCGAAGCAUGGGCGCCAGCCCGUGUGGAGCCGCAAGGUGAAAUACCGCUCUGUUCUCGUUUGACGUCUAACCUCGAACAGUCAUCCUGUUCAGGGACAGUGCCUGGCGGGUAGUUUAACUGGGGCGGUUGCCUCCCAAAGAGUAACGGAGGCGCUCAAAGGUCCGCUCAGCCCGGUUGGCAAUCGGGUUUCGAGUGUAAUCGCACAAGCGGGCUUGACUGCGAGAACGACGGUUCGGGCAGGGACGAAAGUCGGAGAUAGUGAUCCGGUGCCGGCGCACGGGCGCGGCAUCGCUCAACGGAUAAAAGGUACCCCGGGGAUAACAGGCUGAUCAUUCCCAAGAGUCCAUAUCGACGGGAUGGUUUGGCACCUCGAUGUCGGCUCGUCGCAUCCUGGGGCUGGAGCAGGUCCCAAGGGUUCGGCUGUUCGCCGAUUAAAGCGGCACGCGAGCUGGGUUCAGAACGUCGUGAGACAGUUUGGUCUCUAUCCUCUGCGCUCGUUGGAAUCCUGAGGAGGCCUGCCCAUAGUACGAGAGGACCUGGGUGGACGGACCUCUGGUAUGCCGGUUGUCGCGCCAGCGGCAUGGCCGGUUGGCUACGUUCGGGAGGGAUAACCGCUGAAAGCAUCUAAGCGGGAAGCCUGCUCCAAGAUUAGGAUUCCUUGACGCUCCCCGGAGCCGUCCGAAGCCCGCAUGUUGAACACGUGUUCGAUAGGCCGGAGGUGGAAGCCCCGCGAGGGGUGGAGCCGACCGGUACUAACGGGCGAACGCGGCACACU